CGCUCUGGUGGCCUUAGUGGUUAGAAAGUCCUCCUCGGAUGCUGGAGGUCGCGGGUUCGAACCCCGGUCGAGUGA